rnacentral:rRNA from 1 species
GACAGAGGAUGCAAGCGUUAUCCGGAAUGAUUGGGCGUAAAGCGUCUGUAGGUGGCUUUUUAAGUCUGCCGUCAAAUCCCAGGGCUUAACCCUGGACAGGCGGUGGAAACUACCAAGCUGGAGUACGGUAGGGGCAGAGGGAAUUUCCGGUGGAGCGGUGAAAUGCGUAGAGAUGUGGAGGAACACCGAUGGCGAAGGCAGCCCCCUGGGUCAAGAUUGACGCUCAUGCACGAAAGCGUGGGGAGCAAACAGG